GUUGGGAAAAUCCUCUGUGUAUUUUAAUGAUAAGAGCCAUUUCCUUUACAUGUUUAUUAUAGGGGUCUCAUUAUUUGCUUUCUCUUGGACUUUGUUACUCUAAAGCACUGUAGAAUUUCUAUGAUAGAUUUGCAUGCCUGGAAAGAUUUGCUAAAUCCAUAGAUCAUGUACAUGAAGUCCCAAGCUGGGACAAUCUCCCACUCCUGCCCCUUCUCCUCUAACCCUUUCUAAGGGAAAUCUGCUUUGGGAGAGUCCACUCUGUUGGAGGAAUGGCAGAGCAACAUGCAGCAGGAGCUCCAAGGGAAUCACUGUGCCUUUCAACAGAAUCCCUGGUAUUCAACUUCAAGACCUGUUGCUUUUUGCCUUGUGGUCCAUGGCUGCCGUAAAACAGUGGAGUGGACCGAAGGCUUUCCAAGGUCUGUUUGUAAGUGGAACAAGGUAAGCAUGGAGCUGUGGUUGGAUCCCAAUACAAUGGAGAAGCAGCCAGGUCAGUAUAUAAACAUGU
ensembl:lincRNA